rnacentral:rRNA from 1 species
UACGGAGGGGGCUAGCGUUGUUCGGAAUUACUGGGCGUAAAGCGCGCGUAGGCGGCUUUGUAAGUUAGAGGUGAAAGCCCAGGGCUCAACCCUGGAAUUGCCUUUAAGACUGCAUCGCUUGAACAUCGGAGAGGUAAGUGGAAUUCCGAGUGUAGAGGUGAAAUUCGUAGAUAUUCGGAAGAACACCAGUGGCGAAGGCGACUUACUGGACGAUUGUGACGCUGAGGUGCGAAAGCGUGGGGAGCAAACAGG